AUUGAACGCUGGCGGCAGGCCUAACACAUGCAAGUCGAGCGGAUGAGGGGUGCUUGCACCCCGAUUCAGCGGCGGACGGGUGAGUAAUGCCUAGGAAUCUGCCCGAUAGUGGGGGACAACGUUUCGAAAGGAACGCUAAUACCGCAUACGUCCUACGGGAGAAAGUGGGGGAUCUUCGGACCUCACGCUAUCAGAUGAGCCUCGGUCGGAUUAGCUAGUUGGUGAGGUAAAGGCUCACCAAGGCGACGAUCCGUAACUGGUCUGAGAGGAUGAUCAGUCACACUGGAACUGAGACACGGUCCAGACUCCUACGGGAGGCAGCAGUGGGGAAUAUUGGACAAUGGGCGAAAGCCUGAUCCAGCCAUGCCGCGUGUGUGAAGAAGGUCUUCGGAUUGUAAAGCACUUUAAGUUGGGAGGAAGGGCUGUAGGCUAAUAUCCUGCAGUUUUGACGUUACCGACAGAAUAAGCACCGGCUAACUUCGUGCCAGCAGCCGCAGUAA
rnacentral:rRNA from 1 species